rnacentral:rRNA from 1 species
UACGUAGGGGGCGAGCGUUAUCCGGAUUCACUGGGUGUAAAGGGAGCGCAGACGGCCAAGCAAGCCAGGGGUGAAAGCCCGGGGCCCAACCCCGGGACUGCCCUUGGAACUGCAUGGCUGGAGUGCGGGAGGGGCAGGCGGAAUUCCUGGUGUAGCGGUGAAAUGCGUAGAUAUCAGGAGGAACACCGGCGGCGAAGGCGGCCUGCUGGACCGCGACUGACGUUGAGGCUCGAAAGCGUGGGGAGCGAACAGG